rnacentral:lncRNA from 1 species
CUGUUUCUAAGAUGGUUGGGGACUGUAGGAUUCCUUUUUAUGGCCACUUUGUUGUUGGUUAAGUUAAUGGCUUUUUUGACAGCUGGACAUCUGGCCAAAUGAUACGGCACUGACACAUAAUUAUUAGGUGUGCUCUCUGGGUGUUGCUGUUCUCCGGAAUCAUUUAGAUUUUGAUGCAGUCUUAUUUCUUUUUGGUUAUUUCCACUUUUUUUAAAAUUCAUACGAGAAUCCUUUACUGUACCUAUGUUUUGUUCCAAGUUCUAAAGAAGGACGUAAAAAAUGGUGGGGCCGCAGCGGCUUUGGCAGAGGAGUGUUGUGCGGCGGGUGUGGAUGUGAAUUGGGACCGUGCAGGGCUGGUGAAACAUACAGGCAAUAUACGGCGGGGCCUUGUGUGGGAGUUGUUUGGGAUUGAAAGCGGGAGAGGGUGCGAAAAUAUCACGAAAGACGAG